UACGAAGGGGGCUAGCGUUGUUCGGAAUCACUGGGCGUAAAGCGCACGUAGGCGGAUCUUUAAGUCAGGGGUGAAAUCCCGAGGCUCAACCUCGGAACUGCCUUUGAUACUGGGGAUCUCGAGUCCGGGAGAGGUGAGUGGAACUGCGAGUGUAGAGGUGAAAUUCGUAGAUAUUCGCAAGAACACCAGUGGCGAAGGCGGACUCACUGGCCCGGAACUGACGCUGAGGUGCGAAAGCGUGGGAGCAACAGGG
rnacentral:rRNA from 1 species